AAACUUGAGAGUUUGAUCCUGGCUCAGAACGAACGCUGGCGGCAGGCUUAACACAUGCAAGUCGAACGAACUCUUCGGAGUUAGUGGCAGACGGGUGAGUAACACGUGGGAACCUACCCUGUUCUUCGGAAUAACACAUGGAAACGUGUGCUAAUACCGGAUACGCCCUUUUGGGGAAAGAUUUAUCGGAAUAGGAUGGGCCCGCGUAAGAUUAGCUAGUUGGUGAGGUAAUGGCUCACCAAGGCGACGAUCUUUAGCUGGUCUGAGAGGAUGAUCAGCCACACUGGGACUGAGACACGGCCCAGACUCCUACGAGAGG
rnacentral:ncRNA from 1 species